rnacentral:rRNA from 1 species
GACGAACGCUGGCGGCGUGCUUAAUACAUGCAAGUCGAGCGCUGAAGGCCGGUACUUGUACCAUCUGGAUGAGCCGCGAACGGGUGAGUAACGCGAGGGGCCUCCGCCUGUGAGUGGGGGACAACAUGGGGAAACGAAUGCAAAUACCGCAUAAAAACUUUAAACACAGGUUUGGAGGGUGAAAGAUGCAAUUUCAUCACUUAGGGAUGAUCCAGCGUUGUAUUAGCUUGUUGGUGGGGUAAAGGCUCACCCAGGCGUUGAUGGAUAGCCGAACUGAGAGGGUGACCGGCCACAUUGUCCCUGGGGUACGGGCCGUACUCCUACGUGAGCAAGCGGUGGGGAAUUUUGCACGCUGGGCGGCAGCCUGAUGGAGCAUCGUCGCGUGCUGGAUGUCGGCCUUCGGGUUGUAACGCGGUUUCGCCUGUGACGCUGCGUGAGUGACGGUAAUGGCUAAAGAAGCACCGGCUAACUACGUG